rnacentral:misc_RNA from 1 species
AGUCGUAACAAGGUUUCCGUAGGUGAACCUGCGGAAGGAUCAUUACUAAACAAAUCCAAAAAUAAUGUUGAAACGUGUGAACUGGUGGUUGUGCGUGGUGUGGAUGAUGAUUGGUGCGCUGAUGUUGGUGCUUGUGGGUAUGAGAUAGGCAAUGUGCGCACACUGUGUUUAUUGCCCAGCCAUCCCCUCGUAUCAGCAGCAUGCAUUUGUUAUCCAUCAGAUUCUUCUCUCACAAACAAUCAAUCACAAAUCACAACAAUUAUAAAACCAAUCUUGAUGUGCGAAUGGACAACAACAAAUUAAAUUUAUAAAAAGCAUAACUUUUAACAAUGGAUCUCUUGGCUCUU